UCCCCUUCCAUUCUAUUUUCCAGCACUAGCAGUGCACAUGCUGGUUUUUUUUUUUUUAAUAGAUUUUUUUUUUAAUUUUAGGUAUUAUAUUUUGUCGGUCACUUCAGCAUCAAUAUUUCUGCAUAAGGAUCAAAUAUCUUUCUUUCGAUCUCGAUCGAUCUAAACAGUAACAUUAGGAAAAAUAGCAAAUCCAUGGCAUACAGCAGCCUCAUAACCUCCUUUGUUUUCACCUUC
rnacentral:lncRNA from 1 species